AUUGAACGCUGGCGGCAUGCCUUACACAUGCAAGUCGAACGGCAGCACGGGUGCUUGCACCUGGUGGCGAGUGGCGAACGGGUGAGUAAUAUAUCGGAACGUACCUUAUCGUGGGGGAUAACGCAGCGAAAGCUGUGCUAAUACCGCAUAAGCCCUAAGGGGGAAAGCAGGGGAGCGUAAGGCCUUGCGCGAUUAGAGCGGGCGAUACCGGAUUAGCUAGUGGGUGAGGUAAAGGCUCACCAAGGCAACGAUCAGUAGCUGGUCUGAGAGGACGAGCAGCCACACGGGGACUGAGACACGGACCAGACUCCUACGGGAGGCAGCAGUGGGGAAUUUUGGACAAUGGGGGCAACCCUGAUCCAGCAAUGCCGCGUGAGUGAAGAAGGCCUUCGGGUUGUAAAGCUCUUUUGUCAGGGAAGAAACAGCAGCUAUAAUACAGUAUGCGAAUGACGGUACCUGAAGAAUAAGCACCGGCUAACUACGUGCCAGCCGCCGCCGUAA
rnacentral:rRNA from 1 species